rnacentral:rRNA from 1 species
UACGAAGGGGGCUAGCGUUGCUCGGAAUCACUGGGCGUAAAGGGUGCGUAGGCGGGUCUUUAAGUCAGGGGUGAAAUCCUGGAGCUCAACUCCAGAACUGCCUUUGAUACUGAAGAUCUUGAGUCCGGGAGAGGUGAGUGGAACUGCGAGUGUAGAGGUGAAAUUCGUAGAUAUUCGCAAGAACACCAGUGGCGAAGGCGGCUUACUGGUCCGGAUCUGACGCUGAGGCGCGAAAGCGUGGGGAGCAAACAGG